GACCUAUUCCCGCUCCUCCCGCCCUGCCGGCCUCGCUGGUGCCCAGCUUCUUUGUGACUGGUGCUCGCAGAGGUCACUCAGCGUGCGGUGUGCGAUCGGCGGGCGGGGCCGGCUCAGGUGCCGGGACGCGGGACAGACGCGGUGGGCGAGGGGGCGGUCGCGCCGCGACGUCUGCGCCGUGAGGCUUCGCGCGUGAGUGGCGCGGGCGCCAGGCCUGGCCGCCGAGCUCCAGUGGCGGGCGCGGAGGUCGUUGACGCGGGCCCGGUCGGAGGCGCGUCCGUCGCUGUGAGCGCGGCGUCGAGGUUCUCGGACCAUGGAGGACCCGCAGCCGCUGCCACAGUCCGAGCUGCCGCUGUGUGACAGCCUCAUCAUCUGGCUGCAGACAUUCAAGACUGCCUCACCUUGUCAAGAUGUCAAACAGCUGACUAAUGGAGUGACCAUGGCACAAGUUCUUCAUCAAAUUGAUGUAGCUUGGUUCAGCGAAUCUUGGUUAAGCCGAAUUAAAGAUGAUGUUGGAGACAACUGGAGAAUAAAGGCUAGUAACCUGAAGAAGGUCCUCCAUGGAAUUACAAGUUACUAUCAUGAGUUUUUGGGGCAGCAGAUUUCUGAAGAACUUAUCCCUGAUUUAAAUCAAAUCACUGAGUGUGCAGAUCCUGUGGAGCUUGGGAGGUUGCUUCAGCUAAUUCUAGGAUGUGCAGUCAACUGUGAAAAGAAGCAAGAACAUAUUAAAAAUAUAAUGACCCUGGAAGAAUCUGUUCAACAUGUGGUCAUGACUGCAAUUCAGGAGCUGAUGAGUAAAGAAAUAGUGAUCUCUCCUGCAAGUGACACGGUGGGAGAAUUAGAACAGCAGCUUAAAAGGGCUUUAGAAGAGCUUCAGGAGGCCAUAGCAGAAAAGGAAGAGCUGAAGCAGAGGUGCCAGGAACUGGAUAUGCAGGUGACUACACUUCAGGAUGAGAAGAAUUCACUGGUCUCUGAGAAUGAGAUGAUGAAUGAAAAGCUUGACCAGUUGGAUGGCUCUUUUGAUGAUCCAAAUACAAUGGUUGCAAAGAAAUAUUUUCACGUACAGCUACAACUAGAACAAUUACAAGAAGAAAACUAUAGGCUUGAAGCUGCAAAAGAUGAUUACCGUGUUCACUGUGAGGAACUUGAAAAGCAACUGAUUGAAUUUCAGCACAGGAAUGAUGAGCUGACGAGCCUUGCUGAAGAGACCAGAGCCCUAAAAGAUGAGAUAGAUGUUCUUAGGGCUACGUCAGACAAAGCAAAUAAACUGGAGUCAACAGUGGAGGUAUAUCGUCAGAAGCUACAAGAUUUAAAUGACCUCCGCAAACAGGUGAAAUCUUUACAGGAGACAAAUAUGAUGUAUAUGCAUAACACUGUGAGCUUGGAAGAAGAGCUGAAGAAGGCCAACGCAGCUCGGGCACAGUUAGAGACCUAUAAGCGCCAGGUUCAGGACCUUCACACAAAGCUUUCCUCUGAAUCCAAAAGGGCAGAUACACUAGCAUUUGAAAUGAAGAGGCUUGAAGAAAAACAUGAAACUUUACUCAAGGAAAAAGAGCGAUUGAUAGAACAGCGUGACACUCUGAAGGAGACGAAUGAGGAGCUGCGGUGCUCAAAAGCACAGCAAGAUCACUUAAACCAAGCUGAUGCAUCUGCUACAAAAAGUUAUGAAAAUCUUGCUGCUGAGAUCAUGCCCGUGGAAUACAGAGAGGUGUUCAUUCGACUCCAGCAUGAAAACAAAAUGCUUCGCCUACAGCAAGAAGGGACGGAGAAUGAACGCAUUGAGCAGCUGCAGGAGCAACUGGAGCAGAAGCACCGCAAGAUGAAUGAGCUGGAAACCGAGCAAAGGUUGAGCAAAGAGCGCAUCGGAGAACUACAGCAGCAAAUUGAGGACCUCCAGAAGUCAUUACAAGAACAGGGCUCUAAGUCUGAAGGUGAAAGUAAGUCAUCUCAUGCAUGGCGGCAUCUCAUAUGUGCAUAUAUACGGUAUUGUACCCUCUUUAAUACCGAUAAUGCUAAGCCACGUUAGGGAAUACUUUUAAGAUGGCACCUGUUUAGGAAACUACAUUUUGGGUUGCAGUGUUUUGAAGAAUAAUUCAUGUUUUGUUUUUCAUUUGUUACUGUCCAUGUUAUCAGAUUGUGUCUUUUAACCUUAUAGGUAUUUAGUGAAUGUAGAACUGGUGUUAUGAUUUAAAGUACUACUUUUGAAAGAGGAAAGUUGCUAUUUUAAAUUUGUUUUUGACAAAAAUCCGGUUGUCUUAUUUUAAUGUUGAUAUUAAAGUGAUUUUUACUUAUAAUAGUAGUUUUAUAAGAUAACUAUUAAAAUCUGUAGUUUUUAAUAGUUAUCUAGAUACUGAAAUGUUUGAUACUCCUCAAUAUAUCACAUUCAGCUUAUAUUUGCUAUUUUUUCUCCAAGUUCAAGUUUAAUAUUUAUUGUGUUGAAAAAUGUGCAGAAGUUUUCUUUGUUCCUGUGUUUUUACUUCAUUUCCUGUUCUCGCUUCCUUUCCCUUUGAUAUAGAAAUUAUUCCUAAAAUUUUAGGUUUUAGAAACUGUGCUGCUACAAGUACAUGCUUUGAAGACUAUUUUUACAUAAUAUACCUUCAAAAGAUGUUCAGAGACUUAGAUGUUUGGGUAAUUUACCCUUUGCAACUGAGUCAUCUUAACAGCAACUAUUUUAAUUUUAUAGUCCAGCAAAUUAAAGCAGAAGUUGGAAGCUCAUAUGUAAGUAAAACUGAUGUUUCAUUUCAAAGGGGAAGGGUUGUAGAAGCUUCUGGAAACUGUUCUUUUCUGAUUUGGUGGAGGAAUGCCUGUGCUCUGAUGUUCCUAGACUCCUCACCACUGCUACCAAAAGCAAAGAAAACAUUUUCACCUGCUCAUGCCUGCCAGCCAGCCCAAUGCUAAUCUCAUCUGACACACUUAACCAAGCAGACAUUACCACCUUGCUUAUAUGGCUGCUAACUCUGUAGAGCGCUUCCUUUCUCUUGCAUAGGAAGUGGAGGUGCUGAGAAACAAGGAAAGAGUUUUGGAAUGCUCUGUGUGUCAGGUGCAUUAACAUCCUCACCGCAAUCAAUGUACUUAGAAAAAUAUGUUCCCUUUUAACCUGUGGCAAACUAAGGACCAGACAGAUUCUUGCCUGAAGGCCCAAAAUUUGUGUGGCGAAGACAAGUUUUUAUCCUCAAGUCUGUUUGACACCAAGCUCCAUGCUCUCUCUGCUACUCAGGGAAAAACUAACAGAAGUCCAUGAAGAAUUACAGAAGAAACAGGAGCUCAUUGAAGACCUUCAGCCAGAUAUAAGUCAGAAUGCCCAAAAGAUCAGUGAACUUGAAGCGGCUCUUCAGAAGAAAGAUGAAGACAUGAAAGCAAUGGAGGAGAGAUACAAAAUGUACUUAGAGAAAGCCAGGAAUGUAAUAAAAACUUUAGAUCCCAAAUUAAAUCCAGCAUCAGCAGAAAUAAUGUUACUCAGAAAGCAGCUGGCGGAGAAGGAAAGAAGAAUUGAGAUUCUAGAGAGUGAAUGUAAAGUAGCAAAAUUGAGGGAUUAUGAGGAAAAACUCAUUGUUUCUGCCUGGUAUAACAAGAGCCUGGCGUUUCAGAAAUUGGGCAUGGAGUCUCGGCUGGUGAGUGGUGCUAGUGCUUGCAAAGACAGCGUUGCGGCUGCUCCUGCACGUUCCUUCUUAGCGCAGCAGCGGCACAUCACCAACACCCGAAGAAACCUCUCUGUUAAGGUCCCAGCUGCAGCAUCUGACUAGUCUGCAAAGCAAACACAACGGAAGUGCCUCAGAAUAUCUGUACCCCAAGAAACUACCAGAUAGAAAACAAAGGUUAAGAUGCUUGGUAGCAGCUAGUCUUAUUUUGGUUUCACUUUGAGACAGGGUCUCAUAAUCCUGAACUGGCAUAGAAAUGACAGUGUGUUCAAGGAUGACCUUGAACAGCGGAUCAGUCCUUCCUGCAGUCUCUGCACGCUGGUGGGAUUAACGGAAGUAGUUGUAGACCACAUGGCAGGUUUGUAUAGUUCUAGGGGUCAAACUCAGAAGCUCUGCUCAUCGAGCUGCAUUCUCAACCUCACAAUCAACUAUAUUUAAGUCAGAUUAUAUCAAAUUAAUAUUUUCAGCUUACUUAGAAAGCAGAGCACAGUAUCAGCUCUGUCUCUGGGCAGGACAUUGGAGUAGUUGGAAGUGUGAUGAAGCGAAUACUUGUCUUGAAAUGGCAUCCUGUGAGGGAAAGCAAAUGCAUAUUCCAACUUUAUGUUUUUAGUUGUAACAGCAAGUCAAGUUAAUUUGCAUAAAGUAAUGGGUAGUUUGUCAUUUAAUAUCUAGAUUUGCUUUAUGGAAAAGUUUCCUGUUACACAUGUGGAGAAAAACUGUGCAAGGUGAAUUCCUUAGUCUGGUGUGUAUAGUUUCCUCUCUUUGCAAAUUCUGCCCUCUAGAGGAUGCUUCAGCAUGCUGUAGAAGCUAUAAUGCUUGGAAAACUGCUGUUGCAGUGACUUUGUCUGUAAAAGUGACUCAUUAGAAAUUUGCAGCUUCUCUGAGUUGUAUGCCAGUUUGAACAUGUACUGCUGUGAAUGAGGACUGAACUAUUAGGAUAGGAAGUAAACUGACAUUUGUGUUUCUGAUGAAAAGCAAGCUACACUUUGCAAUAGCCACAUGCUUUGGAGCAUGGUGUUCUUGUGGGCAUUGCUUUCUAAGAAGGAGUAUAUCAUGUAUAAUUUUGCCUCUUUAUUGAAAAGAAAUAGUGAUGGAAUAGCUUAUAACCAUUUUGGUUUCUGCUUGCCUCUAAGGAGUGUCUGGAGCUGUAUUUGUGGCAUUCGGUUCAUUUCUGCCCAACAUUGUUUUUUCCAGAGGUGUUACUUUCCAAUUUGGGGUCACUUUUUAAAGUCACAGCUUUGGAAUAUUAGUUGUUAAAUCCCAUUGCUUAAUGUAGCCACAGGUGGUUUGCUCUUGAGUCAGUCACACAUCCAACACUUUGUAGCCACGUUUCCAUCAUUGUUGAGAGUUUGUUGAGAGUUCAUGUGCAGCGAGUCACAAUCUUGGUUUUUGGUAACUUGAAGAAAUUCUUUGAUCCUUAGACUACAGAUUUAAGAAGUGUUACGUCCAUUUCACUUGUACAGAGGAAUCAGAUGGGGAAAGGAGUGCAGCAGACACAAGGGAGACAACAGUGUGCUUUCCCAGAACAUUGCCAGUCAUUGGGUGAAGGUGUAAACUUGCAGGCUGCAUGACCCUUGUUGGGUCAGCUUCUCACCUCUGCCCUCAUCAUAGCAUGAAAGAAGGGAUAUGUAAUAUAUAAACAAAAAGGGGGUGGUGGUGGCUGAGUAAGCCAGAUUGAGCUGGCAGGCUGUGGAGCUGUGGUCUACAUUUUAUUCUUAGUCCUUCAUAAAUAUGAGUAUUGUUCUAUUUGCAGUGUUAACUCAUUUAGAUAAUUGCCUGUAAAUCCUUGCCCAGUAAUUCUUAACCACUUAAAAUAACAAGAAUUUCACAAUGAUUUGGGGUCUUUGAGAUUAGUGGCAUCUGCCAGGAUAUUUUGUUUUAUCAGGGUUCCUUCUGUUCACUACCUCUUAGAUUUUGAUGAUUCUUGUCUACAUUUUACACUGUUGGUUUGUAUUUUUGUAUGUUUAUGGUGUCUGCUUGCCUGUGUCUUUUAGUAAAAUAAGACUUUAAAAUUACUUAGCAUGCUAUUUAACAUUUUCUAAAAAUUAUGACAUUUGGGUAUAUUUUUGUCAAUAAAGACAUUGAUGGUAGUGUUUGUAUUUGCUUAUAAUUGAGAUUUUACAAGUUCCCUUUUCAUGGAACUGACUGUAAAACGUCAACUUCAAUAAAUUUAUGUUUCCAAUAUAAUUGCUCAUAAAUUUGUAAGUAAUGUAGCAUAAAUAAGAAUAUAUGGAUAGUUUCUUUUUUCUUAAUUAAACAAGCAAAUUUUCUGAUUUUUCUAGUUUUAAGUAGAAUUUUGAAUGUUUGAUACAUGUUUAUACAAAACUAGUGUAAAGUUCUAUAUCAUCUAGAUUAAUUAUAGAAAUUCAGCUGUAACCAGGGUGAGAUUCUUUCCUUGUAUAAUUUAUGCAGUGAGACUGCUGCCCAGCCAGGUAGAAAUCAGAUCUAGAACCAUGACUUCUCCAAGUGUAUUGAAGGGAAGAUUGAGUGCAUAAAAUGGAUUUGACAAAAAAAUGUGUGUUGCAGUGACUAUAAAGUUAAAAACAACCUUGAAUUUCAAGUGGCUGUUCCUCGACUGAUACUCCUUUCUCUUUUUUGGAUAUAAUUAUGACACUGAUGUUUAUCUUGGGAUAAACUUAAUGUAUUGAGAAAUAUUUGAAGUUUAUUCUAUUUUUUUAAUGAUCUGACUAAUGAUUUAGUAUAAGUGAAAAAAAAAAUGUCUUGCCUAGCAACCUCUAGCUGAGUAUCCCUUAGUAAUAUCUGGUCUUUGAUGACUGGAUGUUAUACACUUCACAACCACACGUACUUCUGUAUAGUGGUAUAUCUGGCAUGUGGGGAGUGACUGUGGUUUAUGCCAGAGUACUGACAAUUUGUGUAAAAAUGAAUGUAAAUGACUUGUUAUACAUACAGUCUUACUGUGAUCCUGUUUGUUGCACACAUUUAUAAAGCACAAGUCAUCAGAGGAAAUAGUGUGUAGUUACUAAACUUGAAGUUUCAGUGAAGUGUUUAGUUUAUUAAAAAGGUCCUUUCUAUUUUCUAUGGCAAAUGCUGUCACACUUGAAAACUAGAAGAAGCAAUACUUGAUUUAUUUUUGUAAGUAUUUAGAAUAUUAUUUUGAAUAAAUAAUUGUCAAUAAAAUUGUGCAAUGUUUUACGCAAAUAAAGUUCUGCUUCUGAUUCA